CACGUCACCCCGCGGCACCCUGACACCCGGCAACCCCGACACCCUGACACCCAGCAACCCCGGCACCCGGCAACCCCACACACAUCACCCCACGGCGCCCUGACACUCGGCACCCAGCAACCCCAACACCCUGACACCUGGCAACCCCUCACACGUCACCUCACAGGGCCCCGACACCCGGCAACCCCGCACCCGUCACCCCGCGGCAUCCAGCGCCUGGCAACCCCAGCACCCUGACACCCAGCACCCCCACGUCUGUCACCCCUCAGCGUCCGGCACCCAGCAACCCUGCACCCGUCACCCCACAGCCCGACAUCUCGACACCUGUCACCCUGCAGCACCUUGACACCCAGCACCCCAACACCCAGCAGCCCUGCGUCCAGCAACCCCAACACCCGUUAACCCCAACACCCCAUCAUCCCGACACCCUGACACCCAGCAACCCCAGCACCCGGCAGCCCCAACACCCAGCAACCCCAGCACCCCGACACCCAACAACCCCGGCACCCCAGCACCCCCGUGUCCACACCCCGCACCCACAGCAACCCCACCGCACAGGCAACCCCAGCACCCAGCAACCCCGGCACCGCAUCACCCGGGUCACCCGCACCACCCACAUCCCAACACCAGGUCACCCGCAUCACCCAGCACCUGGCAACCACAUCACCCAGGUCACCCGCACCCCAACACCCGCAUCACCCCCAACACCCAGCAACCGCAUCACCCGGCACCCAGGUCACCCAGCCCCUGGGUCACCCGCCUGCCCCGUCGCCCAUCACCCCUUCACCCCGUCACCCGCACACCCCGGGUCACCCAGCACCCCAUGCACCCUGUGUCACCCGGCACCCUGUCACCCGGGGCACCGAUGUCACCCAUCCCCGGUGUCCCCCCGCGGCACCGUCCGGGAGCGCACGCGUGAUGUGUGCAUGCCGUGUGCGAAGCGUGCGGGGAGCGCACGGGAAUCAGGCAAGAAGCGUGUGCAUGGCAUGUGCAUGGCGUGUGCGUGGUGUGUGCGUGGCGUGCAGGGAGCGUGCAAGAAGUACGUGGCAAGUAUGCAGGAAUCAGGCCAAAUGCAUGUGCAUAGCGUGUGCAUGGCAUGUGCAUGGCAUGCGAGAAGAGUGCAGGAAACGUGGGGAGCAUGCAGAGAGUGUGGGAAAAGCAUGUAGGGAGCGUGUGGGAAGCAUGUGGGAAGCAUGUGGGAAGAUGUGCAUGGCAUGUGCACAGCAUGUGCAUGGCGUGUGGGGAGCAGGCAAAAAGCAUGCGGGAAGUGUGUGGGAAGUGCAGAGAAAGCACGCAGG
rnacentral:lncRNA from 1 species